ACUAUGCCCUGCUCUUGAAAAUGUGGGUUCUAGGGAUCAAACUCAGGUCCUUAUGUUUGCUAGCUAAUGUAUCUGUACACCAUUUAGGCUUCUUUUUGAGAUGUUGUCUCACUAAGUUGCCUAGGGUGUCUUUGAGCUCACUGGAUAGCCCAGGCAGGUCUUGGUCUUGAGCGCUGCCUCCUUCAGCUUGGUUAGUAGCUGAGAUGACCACCCUGCACUAGGAUUGAGUUCUUGUCAAUGCCUGUACUUCAGUGUCCCUUGUAUUGGUAUACAUUUCUCUUCCCCAUUCAGCCAUUGAAAUCAUGAGUGUCUGUCAUUCUGGCUGGCAGUAGUGAGUGUGUGGGCCCCAUAAUCUUUGAGGGUUUUUGUUUUGUGUUUUAUCUAUUUAAUUUGUAUCCACUUUAAAGUAUUAGAUAAUCACUUUUUAAAAAAAUUUUUUUUAUUAGAUAUUUUCUUUAUUUUCAUUUCAAAUGUUAUCCCCUUUCCUAGUCUGCCCCCCCCCCCCCGCUCCCCAACCCACCCAUUCCUGGUCCUGGCAUUCCCCUAUACUGGGGCAUAGAGCUUUCACAGGACCAAGGGCCUCUCCUCCCAUUGAUGACCGAAUAGGCCAUCCUCUGCUACAUAUAUAGCUAGAGCCACAAAUUCCACCAUGUGUUUUCUUUGAUUGGUGGUAUAGUUCCAAGGAGCUCUGGGGGUACUGGUUAAUUCAUAUUGAUGUUUCUCCUAUGGGGCUUCAGUCCCCUUCAGCUCCCUGGGUAUUUCUCUGGCUCCUUCAUUGGAGACCUUGUGCUCUGUCCAAUGGAUGACUGUGAGCAUCCGCUUCUGUAUUUGCCGGGUACUGGCGGAGCCUUGAAGGAGUCUGCUGACAGGAGAGAAUUACUUCUUUAGGGUCGGAGUGUGGGCUGUAAGUUAAUUUGUAUCCAAGUCAAGACUUUCCUGAUUUAACAAUGUAACAGUUGGUACUAGAGAUACAAAUUAGCUGAGUGAAAAUUAGGGUAGAUGUAACUUGGGGGCAGCCAGGCAGGACUAGAUUUGAGGUAUAGCCUCUCCUGUAACCCUGUUCCAAUAACACAACAGAUCUUUGCUGGGAGCUUCACAACUUAUUACAGUGAUCAAAACAUGGUUACUGUGGUUUUAGUAAAGUUGAAGAAUAACAAAUGCAAAGCAAAAUGGAACAUCUUCCAGAAAGUCAUAGAAACCCUUCACGGAUGGAUUCAGUUGUGGCCUCCUGGCACUGUUCAUCUCAAGAGCAGAGAUGUAAUAUCUUAACUCUAUAAGGGGAAUCUAAAACUCUAAAGCUACACUACAGAGUUGAAGACUAGGCCAGGUAUCAAAACUCAAACAUUACUGAGAGCACCUUCAAGAAAAUGAUAUGUUAAAAAAAAGGGGCGGGGGUGGUGAGGUGGCUGGAGAGAUGGCUCAGUGGUUAAAAGCACUGACUGCUCUUCCUGAGGUCGUGAUUUCAAUUCCCAGCAACCACAUGGUGGCUCACAACCAUCUGUAAUGGGAUCUGAUGCCCUCUUCUGGUGUGUCUGAAUAGAGCAAUGGUGUACUCAUGUACAUAAUAUAAAUAAGUCU
rnacentral:lncRNA from 1 species